rnacentral:rRNA from 1 species
GAUAAACGCUGGCGGCGUGCUUCAGGCAUGCAAGUCGAACGGGUCGCCGCAAGGCGACCAGUGGCGAACGGGUGAGUAACACGUAGGUAACCUGCCCGGAAGUGGGGAAUAACCCGCCGAAAGGCGAGCUAAUACCGCAUGUGGUGGCUCUUCUGCGGAGGGGUCACGAAAGGCUUCGGUCGCUUCCGGAGGGGCCUGCGGCCGAUUAGCUAGUUGGUAGGGUAACGGCCUACCAAGGCGAUGAUCGGUAGCUGGUCUGAGAGGACGGUCAGCCACACGGGGACUGAGACACGGCCCCGACUCCUACGGGAGGCAGCAGCUAGGAAUCUUGGGCAAUGGGCGAAAGCCUGACCCAGCAACGCCGCGUGGGCGAAGAAGGCCUUCGGGUCGUAAAGCCCUUUUGCAGGGGACGAUAGUGACGGUACCCUGCGAAUAAGCCACGGCUAACUACGUGCCAGCAGCCGCGGUAAUU